AGCCUUGGGUAUCAGAGGACCAUCACUAGGUGUGCGUUUUCAUCCACAUGGAGGAAAAUAUCUCUACAAAUGUUAGUUCAGCGCAGAAAAUAGUCAUUGGCACAUCCAAUAAGGUGAUGUUAUUGUUGUUGAGCGAGACUGACGAGUGAUGAUUUAGUAUUCCUGAUGUUUGUAGAUCGUUAAAAACGAAACGUGUUCAGUGAGUCCUCUCUUCGCCACACUGAGAGAAAGACUGAAUAGCAGGGCGGCAGGGGAGAUAUGCUGUGUUGAGUUCCUGGUGUGUGUCCGUUUGUGCAGAAUACACACUGGAGUGAAAGUGAGUCUUCUUACUUUUUUUUUCUUUGUUGGCUGCUGGGAAAAUGUUAUAAAUAAAUGCACAGAAUAUAUCCUAAGAGCAAUACAUUAUUUAAGUUACCGAAUUACGUGAGUAAUGUUGUGACUGUUUAAAAGAAGUGUAUUCAUUUCUUUCUGUACUGUUGUUUUCUUGCCAGGAAAGUGCCACUACUGUUGUCUUUAGUUUGUAGUAACAUUUUUUUUUUUGUAGUCAGUGAACCCGGUUUGAUUAGAGCAGGGGUCGGCAACCCGCGGCUCUUUCAGCCCUCUGUUGUGACUCCCUGUAACUUUGGAAAAUAAAUUGUUCUGCCUUUCAGGCGCGUUUCAAUGCAUUUUAAUAUAGAGAGUUUUAUUGUGAAAUUACCGCUCUUAUUUUGACGUGUCACUUCACCGGAUGUGUUGCUGGGGUUCUGGGACAUGAGAGCGUAAGGUUGAUGCGGAGGAGAUGGAGAAGCAACGCCUGUAGUUUCACAUCGUUUUGUACUCAAGAAUGGCAAGCCUGUAUAUUAAAGCUCCACUCCAAGAAAGACACGUCUUGUCUUUGAGUCAAAAGUACUCAUGAUAGGGUAAUACACGUUACACGCAAGAACACGGCAGCAGGUCAGGGAGUCAGAGGAGUGACGUCUUGGAAAACAGGGCAGCGACUUACCGGAGAAAAGUUAUUAGCUUAAGAUAAAUAGAUAAAUAGAUUUUACAAGUUAAAUAGACAUUCGCAAAAUAUUGAUUUCCAGCUAACAUUACGUAACAUAUGAGGUCCAGGAGCAAAAAUGACAUUAACCAGGUAAGAUAAAUAUUAGUGGAAGGACACAAUUUUAAAAAAUGAAUCUAAUUAGAGGCUUUGUAAUUAAUUAAUCACGA